UCCAUCGCGAGGUGGAAUCUGAAGGAAGCCGCAGGCAAAAUCCCGGUCCGACGAACAGAAACCGCAUGAGACCCUCUCAUGAGCCUGUAAAUUGAACUGUGUAUCUGCUCCAUGAGAGAGUGGGGC
rnacentral:ncRNA from 1 species